rnacentral:rRNA from 1 species
UGCCUGUAGAAGAAAAAAUUCCAGGUAGACCCUGCCCAAUGACACCUAGUUAAAUGGCCGCGGUAACUCGUGCAAAGGUAGCAAAAUAAUUCGCCUCUUAAUUAGAGGCUAGAAUGAAAGGGCUAACGAAAAGACCCUGUCUCUACUGAACAACUAAAAACUACCUACCAAGUGAAAAGACUUGGAUUAAUAUAGAAGACAAGAAGACCCUGUCGUACUUAACCUCUAAUAAAUUCAGCUAAAUUUUGAGGGGUUUGGUUGGGACGACCCUUAACCUAAAACGCUAUUUUACCUAAAGAAACCCAACUCUUUUCAUUGACCCUUCCAAAGAUCAAAGAACAAGUAACCGCAGGGAUAACAGGCUAAUCUCCUUCCAGAGCCCAUAUCGACAAGGAGGUUUGGCACCUCGAUGUUGGCUUAGGAACUCUAAUAGGCGCAGCAGCUUAUUACAGAAGGUUUGUUCAACCUUUAAUAUCCU